rnacentral:hammerhead_ribozyme from 1 species
AUUCAGCUGACGAGUCCCAGAUAGGACGAAACGCGCGUCAAGCUGGAU